CCCACCUGGAAGGAGGAAGUGCUGACGGUUCUUCCAGCCCCAGGUGCCCUGGGUCACCUGCGCCCUUUCAUUAGGAACCUGGGCCCCUGGGACCCAGCUCCCAGUCCCCACUCAGGCAGCUGCCGGGCUCUGGACCCACCAGCCCCACCUGGAGGUGGAGGCACCGACCCUCCCAGGGAGCCGCUGUGGACUUUUUUUUAGAAAAACCACCUCCACUUCUUUCCAGCAAGACGGUUAGUAAAUAUUUCAGCCCCGCGCUUAGCGGACAGCUUCCACGUGUGCUUUCUUGCCACGAGCGUGCUGGCAACGUGCUGGCAAGAGCCCCUUCCUUUUCCGACGUCAGGAAGCCAGACGGACCCUCGUCCGGAGCACUUUCAGCUCAACGUAGCGAGACAGCCCCCCCGGAGCCCAGAGCCCCCAGAGAAGGGGCUGGGAGGGGCCGCUGGGCCCAGGAGGGCACAAGCUGUCUCCAAGCAACAGCACGGGGGGCGGAGGGUGGGGGACUGAGGGGCCCCCGUGUGGAUUUGAGCGCCUCUAGCCUCGGCUGUGCAGGGGCUGCUCCCAGAGGCCGCACCCCAGAGAGGCCGCACCCCAGAGAGGCCAGGAACGGCUGGGGCAGGGCCCACAGUGCUCCUGCCCCCGAGCCAGGCCCCAAGUCAGCAAUAAGAACCAACCCUCAGCUCAGCCUGGGUGGUGCCCUGGGCACGAGACCUAGCACCUGGGGUGCCCGUCUCAGCACCCCUGAACUCUAUUGGCCUGAUUUAUUUAUGUAAUAUAUAAAUCUAUAUAAAAUAGCUAUUUUGCUUACA